UCAAGUCAUCAUGGCCCUUACGACCAGGGCUACACACGUGCUACAAUGGUAGGUACAGAGGGCAGCUACACAGCGAUGUGAUGCGAAUCUCAAAAAGCCUAUCGUAGUCCAGAUUGGAGUCUGCAACUCGACUCCAUGAAGUAGGAAUCGCUAGUAAUCGCGGAUCAGAAUGCCGCGGUGAAUACGUUCCCGGGCCUUGUACACACCGCCCGUCACACCAUGGGAGUUGAUUGCACCAGAAGUGGUUAGCCGA
rnacentral:rRNA from 1 species